AAUUAUUACAAGAAUUAGCCCACACCCAAAUCAAUUCAGCCACCAUACUAAAAUAAAAGCCCAACCCAAAUAAACCCUGGGCCGGCCUUGACCGAAGGGGACAAAGGCAGUCCCCUAGGUCACCAUAAAAACAAAAUAUAUUUAGGGCAAAUCAUUUCAGCCUCCCCAAUUGUCUCCAUCUCCAUUCUCGUUCUCGACUCUGAACUUGCCCCUUUCUCUGCGCAAACUAAAAAAUCUACAAGAAUCAGAAGUUCAAAACUCAUAUAUUUCAGUUUAUCUAUCUGUCUGCAAGAAUCAAAAGUUCAAAACCCAUAUCGAGAUAUCAUUUUAGAUUAUUCAAAAAAUCAAAACCUAGAUCUUUCAGUUCCCAUCGCCCGCUGUUCCACUUCGGGUUCGCCGUUCGCAAGCUUCAGCCGCUGUCUCUCAACUCUCAAGCUUGCCCCCCCCUCCCUUCUCUCUCUCUGCAACUGCUAACUUGGUUAGCAUCGGGCCUUAACAUUUAGCAAGUACAAGGUUCAAGAAACAUGUCUCCUCAGUCAUCAGGUCUCUUUUUUGAAAGAAGAGAGUUGAUGGGAAUGGGUGGAGUUGGCAAAACGAAAAUAGGUGGAGUCUACCAUAAGUAGUUCAUAUAGCUACAAAGUUGACAGCACUUACCCAAUUGGUUUUUGGGACGAACAGACAAAAACUCAUUUUUUUCACUAUCUCAACAAUCAUCUGAACAAGCUAUUCAUCCUGGAGUCAGCUAGAAUUACAAAUACUAUAAGCCCACACAAAAAGAUUUUUCUGAUAGCGAUGGAAUAUUGAUUGAAUUCUGGUGUGGGUCCAUAAAGUGUGUAGUUUUUUUUUUUUUUUCCUUUCAUUAUUGUUUAUUUAUUUUGUAGUGUUCAUUAAACUGUAGAUAUCAUUAUUGUGUAUUUUUCUUUUAGAAAUAUUUUGCAAGCCCUGGAAAUGCUCCAUGAGAACAAUAUGGCGCAUGGGAAUCUUGACUACCUUGAGUCAUUUGCAAUAAGAAAAGAGGAAAUUUAUUUGCUUCUCCCAUCUAAGGAUGGGAGCAAGAGCGAGAUUGGUGAAAAUGAUUUGGAUGAAAUAAAUGUAAAAGAUCUUUAAUGUGUCGUCAAUGAAAUAGUAGGAAAAGCAGGGGCUGUUGAUUGGGACAACUUUUUUGCCUAAAUCUUUGUUUGUAUAUCUUUCAUUGCCAUGGUUUUUGUUAUGUAAUAAUUUGGGUGUUUCAUAAUUUGAUUUUUGUUGUUCUGUAGAGCUGAGAAGUUGAAGGGGCAUCCAGUGUUAAUGAACCCCUCUGAAAGGGCUGGAUUCAUGUCAGAUGCAUGUGAUCACCUAGGAUUUGCUAAUAAAGUCUCAUAUCCGAUUAUGAAGAUGGAGUUCAACAAGGUCGCGACGUCAUAUUGUUACAACAUGGUGGUUGGGAAAAGGAUGUUCAUGGUCGUAAAAUUCCUAAGUUGGUAUUUGAUUGUAAGUCUCGUAAGGUCCCUCAAAAUAUUCCUAAUGAGGAAUUCCAUAUGUUCAGAUUUGUUAAGAAUUAUCUACAUCAUGCUGGUCCUGAAGCAAGAGAAGAUCUUAAUUUGUCAUUUUCAAAAAAGGAAGCAGGUUUGGAGCUCUCCCAUAUGUUUCCUGGAUACAUGUCUUCUGUCUACACUACUUUGGUGACCAAAUUUCCAAAGUUGAAUAUUUGGUUAAAGGAGUGAAGAAAGUACUCUCUAUUUUCAUAACUAAAUAUAGUAAUUCUCGCUUUCUUAAAAAGAAUCUAAUCAUAUAUAAUUCUUGUUUGUUCAUUUGAUGUUGUUAAGCAUGCUAUUGUUAUGUAUUGUCUUGUGUUAUCUGUUUAACUUCUACAACUAAAGUUUAGGAUUGACUCUGUAUGUACAAUUUUGUUCAUUUUUAGUUAAUGCACGACAGUUUGAUUUUUUUGUUGUUGUUUUCUUUAGUGUUACCACUAAUUGAGGUGUUACAAUUCGGGCCUAGUUAAGUGCGCCUAUGUUUAGCUUGUUGACUGUUUCUAAUGGUUGCAGGUCAUUGUGGAUGAACAUAGGUCGAAAGUUCUUUUUUGGCGCCAAGUAAUGUUCGGUUGGGAUAUGUACUGGGAGUUUAAAUAUUUAAAAUAUAACUUGUUAAACUGGUUUUUCUUUUGCUGUGACAAUGUUUGGGAUCUGUA